rnacentral:rRNA from 2 species
AACCUGCCCUUAACUCUGGGAUAAGCCUGGGAAACUGGGUCUAAUACCGGAUAUGACUCCUCAUCGCAUGGUGGGGGGUGGAAAGCUUUAUUGUGGUUUUGGAUGGACUCGCGGCCUAUCAGCUUGUUGGUGAGGUAAUGGCUCACCAAGGCGACGACGGGUAGCCGGCCUGAGAGGGUGACCGGCCACACUGGGACUGAGACACGGCCCAGACUCCUACGGGAGGCAGCAGUGGGGAAUAUUGCACAAUGGGCGCAAGCCUGAUGCAGCGACGCCGCGUGAGGGAUGACGGCCUUCGGGUUGUAAACCUCUUUCAGUAGGGAAGAAGCGAAAGUGACGGUACCUGCAGAAGAAGCGCCGGCUAACUACGUGCCAGCAGCCGCGGUAAUACGUAGGGCGCAAGCGUUAUCCGGAAUUAUUGGGCGUAAAGAGCUCGUAGGCGGUUUGUCGCGUCUGCCGUGAAAGUCCGGGGCUCAACUCCGGAUCUGCGGUGGGUACGGGCAGACUAGAGUGAUGUAGGGGAGACUGGAAUUCCUGGUGUAGCGGUGAAAUGCGCAGAUAUCAGGAGGAACACCGAUGGCGAAGGCAGGUCUCUGGGCAUUAACUGACGCUGAGGAGCGAAAGCAUGGGGAGCGAACAGGAUUAGAUACCCUGGUAGUCCAUGCCGUAAACGUUGGGCACUAGGUGUGGGGGACAUUCCACGUUUUCCGCGCCGUAGCUAACGCAUUAAGUGCCCCGCCUGGGGAGUACGGCCGCAAGGCUAAAACUCAAAGGAAUUGACGGGGGCCCGCACAAGCGGCGGAGCAUGCGGAUUAAUUCGAUGCAACGCGAAGAACCUUACCAAGGCUUGACAUGGACCGGACCGGGCUGGAAACAGUCCUUCCCCUUUGGGGCCGGUUCACAGGUGGUGCAUGGUUGUCGUCAGCUCGUGUCGUGAGAUGUUGGGUUAAGUCCCGCAACGAGCGCAACCCUCGUUCCAUGUUGCCAGCGCGUAAUGGCGGGGACUCAUGGGAGACUGCCGGGGUCAACUCGGAGGNAGGUGGGGACGACGUCAAAUCAUCAUGCCCCUUAUGUCUUGGGCUUCACGCAUGCUACAAUGGCCGGUACAAAGGGUUGCGAUACUGUGAGGUGGAGCUA